CAAUGGGGCGACGGGAGCAGUUAGCGAGCCCCGCCUUUUCUCUCAGCCUUGUCUCGUCGCGUGAGAGCGGGCGCCGAAGCUUUUUUUUUCCUCCCCUGGCUAGGCGGUGAAGCAUUGCUUCGAGUGGCUUUGCCUGCUCCGUCCAUCUUGUGUGUUAGCUAAAUCUCCAUAGAGAAGGGAGUAAGAAUCGCAGGUCGUUCCCGGCCGCUUUGCACAGAGAAAAGCAAAACAAAAACCCCAGGCUGGGAAUGAGAGAAGGCGCAGAUAUGCUUUUCUGCAAUAUCUUUUCAAGGCAAAACGUGUAGCAGCCGCACCGAACCAUUUGGAAAAGAAAUGGGUGUUUUGAUCCGCCUGUUUGUUUAUGUAACUGUAUCCUUGGUGGGUGUACGCUGAAGCCAUUAUUUUAGCAGCCUGCUUGUGUCUCGCCACACAUGCGUUCAGUGGUAAUGACUGAAAGGGGAGCCGAAAUAAAAAAGAUGCGAUGCAGUUGCUAUUUUAUAAUUUUAUUGCCCGCUUUAAAAAAAAAAGAGCUUUAGCCCAUUUCUUCUGAGUUUACUUACCAUAAACUGAACAAUCGCCUCGCACUGCCGUGGAAAGAUCAGAGUAUCUGGCAAAAUUGAUUUCGACCUACUCCCAUUAGAGAUCCCUUGUUUAGGAUAAUAACUUAAACCUGUUUCCCAGGAUGGCAUACAUAAGAAACAAAGAAUGGUGUACACUCUGCAAUAAACUUUGGAUCAACUGAAAUAUAUAUCUUAAACUCUCUUACAAGAUGACAUAAUUGUCAAAGAUUUUGAAAGUUCCAAGCAUAAUAUGGCAUUUAGUAUGAUUUUUCAACUCUGUCUCUACACAGAUAGAAUGUUAUUGGUGUUACAACACUAUGCCUCAUUGUGUCUUGCAUUCAGAAGUUUGACUAAAGCAACAGUAUGCUAAACAAUUAUGAAAGUGACUCAAUGUCAACAAGUAUAUAUCCUUAUGAUAAUAAAAUUUAAAAGAUUAGCAUGAGAAGAAUUAGCAUUUAUGGUUAUUGUGCUGAUAAUAAAUGAGAUAUAGUUUAAAUACCUGAAAAUUAAAUCAGAUGCUAAAAUCAGGUCUAUUUUUCCCUUAUAGGUAGGGAUACUACAAUGUUGCUGUUAUAUUUCAGCCAUUUCCAAUAAAAACUUUUUUUCAUGAACUUGAGCACUCUGAUUUUUAGAUUGUUUUCACAAUAGUAUCUCAAAACAAAUUAAAAAUUCACCUUAUUUUCAAGUUCAAGUUUAUUUUAAUUACCAUUCAGUGAGGAUUCUGAAUAAAUCAGUUGUUUUUCAACAACAAUUUCAAGAAUUGUUUUUCAACAACCAACAAAAAAUUCACGAGAUAUUUGACCAUAUAUGAUUUCACUUGCCUAGAUUAGCUAUAUGGCUAUUUACUACCAGACACAGUGAUCCCUCUCAGAAGACAAGGAUCAAAUUGAACCAUGAGUUUGCUGUCUUGACAUCAUUUCUGCAUUCGUAAUGAAUGGGGCGGUUUUGUCCAUUUUUAUUUUAUUUUUACUAUUUGCUUACUAUAACAUUACUCCUAUCUGUCUAUCAAAUUUCAGUCACAGUUGUUGCAAACAACUGCUAGAAUGUUGAUUCUUUGUUUUGAGAGACAUUUGCUCUAGUAUAGAAGAAAAAAAUCUGAACUCUAUGAUGGAUAUAUAACAGAUAUCAGUGAAGAUGAUUGGCAAGUACAGUAUGAAGUACUGGACUUGUCAUCCCCAUCAGGGCACAAUGAAUCUAUUUUUAGCUGUUGAGGAUAAGUCUGAUAAUGUCUUUGAUUUACAGACUGAAAUGUAAUUAGAACCAUUUUUUGCCACUGGAGGGAGACCACAUUGCUCAAGAAAGCAAUAGGAAGAGAAGUCCAGAACAAAGCCAAACACACACACACACACACACAAACACACACACACACGUAGAGGUGCUGUAUAUUUAGACUAAAAAAACUUUGUAGACUAGACAACAUUGUUUUAUGCACAAUAUCUUUUAGCAGCUAAUUUUGAAGUAAUCUUGUUUUUCACAGAAAAAAGUACUACAGCAGCAAUAGAAUGUAAGCAUUUCUGCUGGCAAUUUUCAGCAGAUCUGAUUAUACUUGCCUUGAAAUGGCUCAGUUUGGGAGAGGAACCAAUCAACCCUGACUUUACUGAUGAUGGAUAGGGGCGUGAUUUUGUUUGCUGCAUAUUUAAAUCUAGGCAGGGGACAAAUAAGUUGCGGAACAACAAAAAUAGCAAAUGGAAUUCUACUUUGUUGUGUUUAUAAAUGUAGGUCAGCAGCCACAGUGCCUGGCAGACCAAAAGGAGUGCAGAAAAUUAUUUUGCUGAUACUUUCUGAAAUCGAAAGUCUCAUAGAAACUGAAUAGGCAUAGCCAUGUGACAUCAUAGCUGCUCUAUGUUACAAUAUAUUUCCCAGGCUUGAAUAGGAUUUUAAUGUCCUAUUAAAUAUACAUUGCUGUUACCCAGUGAAAGUGGUUUAUUUUGCUGUAUUUUAAGGAAAUGUGUGAAUUGAAAUUUGCUUCCACUUUAAGCUUUUAUAAAAGGUCAUUUAAAGAUGUUAAAAUGGAAUUGUUAUUUUUAAUUAUUUUUAUUGUUACAUUUAAAAUGUCAAUGUGGCUGUAGUAUAAUUGUGUGUUAUUCACCACUUAGAUCGGAUAGAAAAGGAAACAAAGUGUGGUAUCUCAGUCUUCUCAAAACAUCUCUUAAGUUUGAGGAACUUACUAGUAUUGAAUAUAAUUUGGAUAUAUGUUUCCAGUUGAAAAGAAGAAUAUGAGAAAAAAAAUUAGCUUAUUCCAAAAGAAGGACCAGGAGUGACAUGAUAGCAAUGUUCCAAUAU